UUCCUACGGGACGCAGCAGUGGGGAAUAUUGCACAAUGGGGGAAACCCUGAUGCAGCGACGCCGCGUGAGCGAAGAAGUAUUUCGGUAUGUAAAGCUCUAUCAGCAGGGAAGAAAAUGACAGUACCUGACUAAGAAGCCCCGGCUAACUACGUGCCAGCAGCCGCGGUAAUACGUAGGGGGCAAGCGUUAUCCGGAUUUACUGGGUGUAAAGGGAGCGUAGACGGCAGUGCAAGUCCGGAGUGAAAGCCCGGGGCUCAACCCUGGGACUGCUCUGGAAACUGUAAAGCUGGAGUGCGGGAGGGGG
rnacentral:rRNA from 1 species